rnacentral:rRNA from 1 species
CACGUAGGGCGCGAGCGUUGUCCGGAAUUAUUGGGCGUAAAGGGCUCGUAGGCGGUUUGUUGCGUCGAACGUGAAAAUCCGGGGCUUAACUCCGGACUUGCUUUCGAUACGGGCAGACUAGAGGUAGGCAGGGGAGAGUGGAAUUCCUGGUGUAGCGGUGGAAUGCGCAGAUAUCAGGAGGAACACCGGUGGCGAAGGCGGCUCUCUGGGCCUUACCUGACGCUGAGGAGCGAAAGCGUGGGGAGCGAACAGG